rnacentral:misc_RNA from 1 species
GAUGAAGAACGUAGCGAAAUGCGAUAAGUAAUGUGAAUUGCAGAAUUCAGUGAAUCAUCGAAUCUUUGAACGCACAUUGCGCCCCUUGGUAUUCCGAGGGGCAUGCCUGUUCGAGCGUCAUAUUAACCACUCCCGCUUGCGGGGUCUUGGGCUUCGCCUCCGGGCGGGCCUUAAAAUCAGUGGCGGUGCCGUCGGGCUCUACGCGUAGUAAAUUUUCUCGCGAUAGGGUCCCGGUGGAUGCUUGCCAACAACCCCCAACUUCUUAAGGUUGACCUCGGAUCAGGUAGGGAUACCCGCUGAACUUAAGCAUAUCAAUAACGGAGA